rnacentral:rRNA from 1 species
AUGUGUCAGUACAAACUAAACCAAAGUGAAACCGCAAAUGGCUCAUUAAAUCAGCUAUGAUUCAUUGGAUCUGUACACCCAGUUUUCCUUGGAUAACUGUGGUAAUUCUAGAGCUAAUACAUGCACAUAUAGUCCCUGACCUGACGGAAAGGGCGCUUUUAUUAGUAUCAAAACCGGUCUGGCUUCGGUCUGUAAAACCAGUUGUGAUGACUCUGGAUAAUUUAAGCUGAGCGCACGGUCUUUGCACCGGCGCUGCUUCUUUCAAGUGUCUGCCUUAUCAGCUGUCGAUUGUAAGUUAUGUGCCUACAAUGGCUAUAACGGGUAACGGGGAAUCAGGGUUCGAUUCCGGAGAGGGAGCCUGAGAAACGGCUACCACAUCCAAGGAAGGCAGCAGGCACGCAAAUUACCCACUCCCAGCUUGGGGAGGUAGUGACGAAAAAUAAUGAUGCGAGACUCAUCCGAGGCCUCGCAAUCAGAAUGAGUACACUUUAAAUCCUUUAACGAGGAUCAAUUGGAGGGCAAGUCUGGUGCCAGCAGCCGCGGUAAUUCCAGCUCCAAUAGCGUAUAUUAAAGCUGUUGCGGUUAAAAAGCUCGUAGUUGGAUUUCAUGAUUGGACUGAAGGUUCGCCGUGAGGCGUACAAAACCUAUCAGAAUCCGAACAAAGCUAUCACAACAAGUUUGUGUAUGCCCACACUAGCUCACACGGGGUGCUCUUAAUCGAGUGCCCCGCGUGGCUGGUAUGUUUACUUUGAAAAAAUUAGAGUGCUCAAAGCAGGCCAACUGAAUGGCCUGAAUGUCUAUGCAUGGAAUAAUAUAAAAGGACCUCGGUUCUAUUUUAUCCGGGCUUUUUGUGGAACCCGAGGUAAUGAUUAACGGAGACAAAUGGGGGCAUUAGUACUGCGACGCUGAGGUGAAAUUCUUGGACCGUCGCAAGACUAACUAAAGCGAAGCAUUUGCCAAGAAUGUUUUCAUUAAUCAAGAACGAAAGUUAGAGGUUCGAAGGCGAUCAGAUACCGCCCUAGUUCUAACCAUAAACGAUGCUGACCAGCAAUCCGUCGAUGUUAUACCAAUGACUCGACGGGCAGCUUCCCGGGAAACCAAAGUCUUUGAGUUCCGGGGGAAGUAUGGUUGCAAAGCUGAAACUUAAAGGAAUUGACGGAAGGGCACCACCAGGAGUGGAGCCUGCGGCUUAAUUUGACUCAACACGGGAAACCUCACCAGGCCCAGACACUGGCAGGAUUGACAGAAUGAGAGCUCUUUCUCGAUUCAGUGGGUGGUGGUGCAUGGCCGUUCUUAGUUGGUGGAGCGAUUUGUCUGGUUAAUUCCGAUAACGAACGAGACUCUGGCCUAUUAACUAGUCGACGGAUUUCCAUGAAUUGGUGUCCAGUUCGCAACUUCUUCUUAGAGGGAUAAGCGGUAGUCCUAGCCGCACGAGAUUGAGCAAUAACAGGUCUGUGAUGCCCUUAGAUGUUCUGGGCCGCACGCGCGCUACACUGAAGGGAUCAGCGUGUUUUCCCCCUCCGAGAGGAGGGGGUAACCCGAUGAAAACCCUUCUUGAUAGGGAUUGGGGCUUGCAAUUGUUUCCCAUGAACGAGGAAUUCCCAGUAAGCGCAACUCAUUAGUUUGCGUUGAUUACGUCCCUGCCCUUUGUACACACCGCCCGUCGCUACUACCGAUUGAAUGAUUUAGUGAGGCCUUCGGACUGGCACUCUUGGAUGUCUGGCUACAGUCUCAUAAUUAAAGAGCAGUAGUUAGUGCCUUGAGCUGACGGAAAGAUGUCCAAACUUGAUCAUUUAGAGGAAGUAAAAGUCGUAACAAGGUUUCC